CCGAUUGUGGUGAAGUGGAUGAUCCUAUGCUGUCGAGAAAAGCCUCUAGCGAGUUUCAUGGCGGCCCGUACCCUAAACCGACUCAGGUGGUCAGGUAGAGAAUACCGAGGCGUUCGGGUGAACUAUGGUUAAGGAACUCGGCAAAAUGCCCCCGUAACUUCGGGAGAAGGGGGGCCAUUUCUGGUGAUAGCACUUGCUGCUUGAGCUGGGGGUGGCCGCAGAGACCAGCGAGAAGCGACUGUUUACUAAAAACACAGGUCCGUGCGAAGCCGUAAGGCGAUGUAUACGGACUGACGCCUGCCCGGUGCUGGAACGUUAAGGGGACCGGUUAGCUCACUUUCGGGUGGGCGAGGCUGAGAACUUAAGCGCCAGUAAACGGCGGUGGUAACUAUAACCAUCCUAAGGUAGCGAAAUUCCUUGUCGGGUAAGUUCCGACCUGCACGAAUGGCGUAACGACUUCUCGACUGUCUCAACCAUAGGCCCGGUGAAAUUGCACUACGAGUAAAGAUGCUCGUUUCGCGCAGCAGGACGGAAAGACCCCGGGACCUUUACUAUAGUUUGAUAUUGGUGUUCGGUUCGGCUUGUGUAGGAUAGGUGGGAGACUUUGAAGCGGCCACGCCAGUGGUUGUGGAGUCGCUGUUGAAAUACCACUCUGGUCGUGCUGGAUGUCUAACCUGGGUCCGUGAUCCGGAUCAGGGACAGUGUCUGAUGGGUAGUUUAACUGGGGCGGUUGCCUCCUAAAGAGUAACGGAGGCGCCCAAAGGUUCCCUCAGCCUGGUUGGUAAUCAGGUGUUGAGUGUAAGUGCACAAGGGAGCUUGACUGUGAGACCGACGGGUCGAGCAGGGACGAAAGUCGGGACUAGUGAUCCGGCGGUGGCUUGUGGAAGCGCCGUCGCUCAACGGAUAAAAGGUACCCCGGGGAUAACAGGCUGAUCUUCCCCAAGAGUCCAUAUCGACGGGAUGGUUUGGCACCUCGAUGUCGGCUCGUCGCAUCCUGGGGCUGGAGUCGGUCCCAAGGGUUGGGCUGUUCGCCCAUUAAAGCGGUACGCGAGCUGGGUUUAGAACGUCGUGAGACAGUUCGGUCCCUAUCCGCUGCGCGCGCAGGAGUCUUGAGAAGGGCUGUCCCUAGUACGAGAGGACCGGGACGGACGAACCUCUGGUGUGCCAGUUGUCCUGCCAAGGGCAUGGCUGGUUGGCUACGUUCGGGAGGGAUAACCGCUGAAAGCAUCUAAGCGGGAAGCCUGCUUCGAGAUGAGGACUCCCACCCACUUGAUGGGGUAAGGCUCCCAGUAGACGACUGGGUUGAUAGGCCAGAUAUGGAAGCCGGGUGACCGGUGGAGUUGACUGGUACUAAUAGGCCGAGGGCUUGUCCUCAGUUG
rnacentral:rRNA from 1 species